rnacentral:misc_RNA from 1 species
AAGUCGUAACAAGGUUUCCGUAGGUGAACCUGCGGAAGGAUCAUUAAUGAAAUUUAAUUCUCUCAAGGAAUUAAAAAAUCCUUGACCACCUUUUGUGCACUGUUAAUAUUUUAUACUAUUACUGUCUAAACAAAACCUAAUGUUGGCUAGCGACGCUAGACAGCAUGGAAAACAAAUAUAUAAAUAGUAAACAACUUUUAACAACGGAUCUCUUGGCUCUC